rnacentral:lncRNA from 1 species
GCUUUCUGGUUCCUUAGUCCCAGUUUGGGGACCAUGGCUCAUCAUUCUUAACAUCCUCGAAGCAGUUGCAAAAAGAUAAAAAGAUGAAGGGGAGCCCAAAGCUUCCGACAGAAUUCAUAACAGAAAAUAACUUGAUUAAAGCCUGACUCUUUUAAAAGUUCUUUCUCAUAGCAUGUCAUGGUACCUCUUUCUGUAGUGAAUGCUGACCAGUGAGAUGCCAGCCUGCCUGUGAAGAUCCUGCAGCAGGAGUGCAUGACCUGUGACACUAGACUUCUUGCAAAUGAACACUAGAUAUGGUAACAUCCAGAAAAGGCAGAGACAAGAAAAUUCACAGUCUGAGUACUGGGGUGUUUGAGAUGGGGUCAAUCUACAUGUCUCUAGCUGUCCCUAUGUAGUGAUCGGGACAGAAUCUGGUAUGGCCUGCAGAGUUGAUUCCUGUAUUUUUUUUGUGGGCUGUAUGUAAAUGGAUUGUUUUUGACAAUCCAUUCGACCAUGUUCUCUGCUGUGACAGUCAUGGGUGAGCUGGUGACAGACACACCUGUACAGACUGAGCAGAGUGAAUGCAAUCCUGACUAUAAAGCAGCAGAUCACUAUUUUUGUGAUUGUAAAAUUGGUUAUGAGCCAUUUCCUUAUUCAUCUGACAGUGGUUGCUUGGGAGUGCUGCAAUAAGCAUUCAGUAGCAAAUAUUUCUUCAGGUUUUAUUUUUAAUGAUGAAAAAAAUAAGUUUAUUAUAAUUUAUUUUAUGUGACGAUCUAGGAAGUUUGGGCCCAUCAGCAGUUCCAGUGCAAUUUUGGACGCAAUUGGGAAUUCAGGAAUUUCAAUGGAGCUGUUAGCAUAGGGGACCUUAUAGGUCAAAUUCAUGUACACUUUCAAUAGCACGUGUGAGGGGAUCUCUCUAAAAUUGACCUCGUUGGUUCCAUUCUCCGCAAACUAACCUGGACUGCUCCACAUGGCCUUUCUUGUUCCUGAUGUUGAUGCAUGUUCUCCUUUUACAAUAAAUUCAUGACCAUUAGAAGACAAUGAUUUCACAUACAUAGCAUCAGGGCCUUCACAGCCGCUGUAGGCUUUCUCCACUCCAUCCAUUAUGUUCUUAUAAAAUCCUGUUUGAUCCCAGAGGAACUUUAGUAGUUUCCUGUCCAGGCCUAGACUCGGCCUGCUUGUACCUUGCCUCCGAGGAAGUGCUUUUCAGGAUUUUUGUGUCAGCAGACUGAUUAACCAGAGUGUCCUGUUACAUGUUCCACUUCCAUGGUAAUUGAGUUUUCAAAGUUGGUGAGCUACGUGCACUAAUGCCAAUCUCCUUAUUAGGACGAUUGUGCACACGAUCAGGUUUCCCUGUGAAAUUGUCACACAAUGCCUUGAUUACAUUUGUCCAGCCCUCCCAAGUGCUAAAACUAAGUGGGCUGUCAGUGAUAGCUUUCACUUCUAAGUUCUUACUGGUGCAUACUUCCAUUUUCCUUUGAGGUAACUGGCAAGGGUUGAACUUCCUUCCGUUUUUUUGAGACAGUGUCUCAAAAUUGACCUGGUACUCAACUAUAGAGAUGGCUGGCCUCAGUUUAUAGAUUAAGGAAAAGGCUGCCAUACCUAACCUUAGAAUACUCUGCUACUAAAUUGCCUGUCGUCAGUUUGUAACCAGCCUUUACAAAGUAGUGCCAGUGUUCCUGGUUGGGAAUAAAUUUUUGUUUUUUGUGGUUUGAAAUUCUUACACUAGUCCAGAGUGCCCUUGUCCAAACUUUGUACUGAAAGUGUUUUAACACUUAGCCUUUUUCUUUUUUCUUAGUUCUGUUUUGUUUUUGUCCAAGAACUCUGUAGAUCAGGCUGCCCUUGAACUCAGAGAUUCCCCCACCUCCCAAAUGCUGGGAUUAAAAGCAUGUGUCACCACAGCUCAGCCAUCUGCCUAGUUUAUCACUAAUUCAAGGUCUACAGUUUUCAUAAUUAGUGGGAAGAAUCUACUUGGGUUUUUGUUUCCCCCUGUAAUUAAGUUUUCCUGGUAUCAUUGAUGAGGUGGACUUAAUUUCUUCACAGGAAACCUUGCUACCUUUGAAAAAUGAGUUGGCUGUAAUGUAGUUCUUUACUGGUUCUCUGUACCAUGUUUGGGUGCAGUUGAAACACGUCUAGUUGGUAGUCUCUAGCUUAUGUUUACACUGACAGUCACAAUCCCUUGGUUCCAUGUGUUAUUUACUUAUUCCUAUUUCUUUAGGAUGUUAAAAAAGUUUUCAUAGCUGGGCAUGGUUGCUCACACCUUUAAUCCCAGCACUCAGCAGUCAGCAGAGGCAGUUGGAUCUCUGAUCUCCAAGGCCAAUCUCCAGAGGCAGAGGCAGGCAGAUUUCUGAGUUCGAGGCCAGCCUGGUCUACAAAGUGAGUUCCAGGACACCCAGGACUAUACAGAGAAAACUUGUCUCAAAAAACAAAAAAGUUUUCAUUUGAUACUCUGCCUUUUUUUGGGGGGGGGGCUGUGUGUUUCUACGCAUGUUGAUUUCUGUAAACUCUAGCUCUGCUUUUGCUGUAUCACAUGUUAUUUGUUGUCUCCUUUUUAAUUGAAGAAAUAGGAAUUUCUCUUUAGUUUCUUGCUUAAUUCACUGCUAUUCAAGAGUAACUGAAUUUCCAUGGAAAAUAGGGAAACAACUCAGGAGUCUAAGGCAGGAAGAUCACUUGAGCCCAGUCAAAGGUUCAUUGAUUGAUAAAUCUCACAGACCCAAAACAGGGUGAGAUGCUGUAAAUUAUUUCGAAACAAAACUGGUAUGGCCCACAUCUACACCUUUAGCCUCAGCAGAGGCAGUUGGAUCUCUGAUUUCCAAGGCCAAUCUCCAGAGCAAGUUUCAGGACAGGGCUACACAGAGACACAUUGCAGGGGUUGUCUAAGAAGAAAUGUAAGGCUUGCUGGCCUUUUACCCAGGCUGACAAAGUUAAAGGCAAGGCAGUGUUGCGAAAUGAUCUGACCUCUUUCUGCAGUCUUUUCUGCUUAUUUCCUUGCCUUCUAAUGGGUCUUUCAAUAUAUUUACUUGAUAUAGUCCAAGUUAUUAUGUAUUUUAUAUAUUAACAAGUACUAGUCUCCCAAGGAGCCCAGAGAUAAGCCAUGUCUCUAUUCUCUUUAUAAAUACAGGUACAGGAUGCUGAAGAAAACCAAAAGCAACCUAAUAUAAAUAAUGUAAAUAGAAUAUAAAUAG